AAAUAAGAAGCGAACAAUCGCAAUCAGUUUCGACCUGAAAAAUGAUAUUACACUAUCCUUAUUUA
rnacentral:tRNA from 1 species